GGAGCAGGCGGAGGAAGUAGCGGCCACGGCACCACAAAAGCUAACUGCGGCGCCCAAGCGUGGAAUUACCACCGCAUCCUAGCUGUUGGAUACACACAUAGCCAUGUACUAUUAUUAUCACGCACGUAAUCUAAGCAUCGAAGUCGAGUGCGUGCGUGUUGGGUGGGGGUACGCGCAUCGCGGUUUGACGCGCGAUGUAUUUGAUAAUAAUUCGUGCUCCGAGGUACCAACAAGCAACGAUGAGAGAAGCAUUCCACCUUUACACUCCCCUUUUAGGUCUGGAUACUCAUUAUUGAUCUCAAUCCACAUGAGUUGAGGUGGAUUGGGGGUGUUUAACAGGGCUUUUUGGUUUGAAAGAGAUUAGAGAGGAUUAAAUUUCUUUCUAUACAAAUUUGUAUAUGAGAUUUAAUUUUUC
rnacentral:lncRNA from 7 species